rnacentral:misc_RNA from 1 species
GUUUUUAAUUGUAAAAACCUCGUGAAGAGGCCAAACACUUAAACACUGAUUAAAAAAUUGGAGUUUGAUAUAGUUGGCUGGCGACCCUACCAUGAGAAGACUGGCCCUCAGAAAGGUUCAGAACAAAAACAUGGUUCAAAGUGGGCCGCCAAAAUACAGGAAACAUUCACAAGAGGUGUGGAAUAUCGAUGCCAAAAUAGCCCCUAAGAACCAAAUUGACAUCAGAUAUUGUUUCUUUAAUGAUCCAACCGCAGGUUCACCUACGGUUA